rnacentral:rRNA from 1 species
GAACGGGUGACGUAACACGUGGAUAACCUUCCUUCAGGUGGGGAAUAACCCAGUGAAAACUGGGCUAAUACCGCAUAACAUGACGAUGGCACAUGCUGUUGUCUUCAAAGGCGCAAGUCGCCAGAAGAGGGAUCCGCGGCCGAUUAGCUUGUUGGCGAGGUAAUGGCUCACCAAGGCAUUGAUCGGUAGCCGGACUGAGAGGUUGGCCGGCCACACUGGAACUGAGACACGGUCCAGACUCCAUACGGGAGGCAGCAGUGGGGAAUCUUGCACAAUGGACGAAAGUCUGAUGCAGCAACGCCGCGUGGGGGAUGAAGCUUCUCGGAGUGUAAACCCCUUUCGACCCGGGAAGAAUGCCCGCAAGGGUUUGACGGUACGGGUAUAAGAAGGCCCCGGUUAACUACGUGCCAGCAGCCGCGGUAAUACGUAGGGGGCCAGCGUUGCUCGGAAUUACUGGGCGUAAAGGGUCUGUAGGCGGUGCGGCAAGUCGAUAGUGAAAUCCCUAGGCUUAACCUAGGGGCUGCUAGCGAAAUUGCCGUGCUAGAGUGUGAGAGAGGCG